rnacentral:rRNA from 1 species
UACGGAGGGGGCUAGCGUUGUUCGGAAUUACUGGGCGUAAAGCGCGCGUAGGCGGACCUGCAAGUCGGGGGUGAAAGCCCGAGGCUCAACCUCGGAACUGCCUUCGAUACUGCGGGUCUCGAGUCCGGGAGAGGUGAGUGGAAUUCCUAGUGUAGAGGUGAAAUUCGUAGAUAUUAGGAAGAACAUCAGUGGCGAAAGCGGCUUCCUGGACCAGAACUGACGAUCAGGCACGAAAGCGUGGGGAGCAAACAGG